CGCCCAUCCUAAUAGCCGCUGG
rnacentral:siRNA from 1 species